rnacentral:rRNA from 1 species
CACGUAGGGGCCAAGCGUUGUCCGGAUUUAUUGGGCGUAAAGAGCUCGUAGGCGGUCAGUCGCGUCUGCUGUGAAAACUCGGGGCUUAACUCCGGGCCUGCAGUGGGUACGGGCUGACUAGAGUGCGGUAGGGGAGACUGGAAUUCCUGGUGUAGCGGUGAAAUGCGCAGAUAUCAGGAGGAACACCGGUGGCGAAGGCGGGUCUCUGGGCCGUAACUGACGCUGAGGAGCGAAAGCGUGGGGAGCGAACAGG